rnacentral:rRNA from 1 species
UACGUAGGUGGCAAGCGUUGUCCGGAUUUACUGGGCGUAAAGGGCGUGCAGGCGGUUUGUUAAGUGCAGGGUGAAAGCUCCCGGCUCAACUGGGAGAGGUCCUUGCAUACUGGCGAACUCGAGGGAGGCAGAGGAAAGUGGAAUUCCCGGUGUAGUGGUGAUAUGCGUAGAGAUCGGGAAGAACAUCGGUGGCGAAGGCGGUCUGCUGGGCCGUUGCUGACGCUGAGGCGCGACAGCGUGGGGAGCAAACAGG